AAGCUAUUAAAGUACUUCUUUCUUAUAUUUUCAAAAUAUACGCUUUAAAAAUAAGCUAAAUAGCUU
rnacentral:tRNA from 1 species